AGGAGCCGUAUGAGGUGGACAUCCCACGUACGGUUCUGGAACGGAGUUUUGUCCCCACUCAUUUAAGGAACAACCGUAAC
rfam:Selaginella moellendorffii mitochondrial scaffold SELMOscaffold_175, whole genome shotgun sequence.